UACGAAGGGGGCUAGCGUUGCUCGGAAUCACUGGGCGUAAAGCGCACGUAGGCGGCUUCUUAAGUCAGGGGUGAAAUCCUGGAGCUCAACUCCAGAACUGCCUUUGAUACUGAGGAGCUUGAGUCCGGGAGAGGUGAGUGGAACUGCGAGUGUAGAGGUGAAAUCCGUAGAUAUUCGCAAGAACACCAGUGGCGAAGGCGGCUCACUGGCCCGGUACUGACGCUGAGGUGCGAAAGCGUGGGGAGCGAACAGG
rnacentral:rRNA from 1 species